rnacentral:rRNA from 1 species
AUUGAACGCUGGCGGCAGGCCUAACACAUGCAAGUCGGACGGUAGCACAGAGAGCUUGCUCUUGGGUGACGAGUGGCGGACGGGUGAGUAAUGUCUGGGGAUCUGCCCGAUAGAGGGGGAUAACCACUGGAAACGGUGGCUAAUACCGCAAAACGUCGCAAGACCAAAGAGGGGGACCUUCGGGCCUCUCACUAUCGGAUGAACCCAGAUGGGAUUAGCUAGUAGGCGGGGUAAUGGCCCACCUAGGCGACGAUCCCUAGCUGGUCUGAGAGGAUGACCAGCUACACUGGAACUGAGACACGGUGCAGACUCCUACGGGAGGCAGCAGUGGGGAAUAUUGCACAAUGGGCGCAAGCCUGAUGCAGCCAUGCCGCGUGGAUGAAGAAGGCCUUCGGGUUGUAAAGUACUUUCAGCGGGGAGGAAGGCGACGCGGUUAAUAACCGCGUCGAUUGACGUUACCCGCAGAAGAAGCACCGGCUAACUCCGUGCCAGCAGCCGCGGUAA